rnacentral:rRNA from 1 species
UGAGGAAUUUUGCACAAUGGGGGAAACCCUGAUGCAGCGACGCCGCGUGAUUUAGAAGGCCUUCGGGUUGUAAAAAUCUUUUUUACCGGAUGAAAAUGACAGUACCGUAAGAAUAAGGUCCGGCUAAAUACGUGCCAGCAGCCGCGGUAAUACGUAUGGACCGAGCGUUGUCCGGAAUCAUUGGGCGUAAAGGGUACGUAGGCGGCCUAGUAAGUUAGAAGUGAAAUAAUAUAGCUCAACUAUAUAAAGCUUUUAAAACUGCUAGGCUUGAGAGAUGGAAGGGAAAGUGGAAUUCCUAGUGUAGCGGUGAAAUGCGCAGAUAUUAGGAAGAAUACCGGUGGCGAAGGCGACUUUCUGGUCAUCAUCUGACGCUGAGGUACGAAAGCGUGGGUAGCAAACAGG